GUGCUUAUGUCAGCAACAUGUGUACUAUACUUGGAAUAUACAGAGAAGAUUAGCGUGGCCCCUACUCAAAGACAACCGCAAAGUUGUGGGGCGUCCCAUAUUUAA